GCAGUGGUUCAGUGGUAGAAUCCUCGCCGUCCAUGCAGGAGACCUGGGUUCGAUUCCCAGCCAGUGCA
rnacentral:tRNA from 1 species